rnacentral:rRNA from 1 species
GUUAGGAAUAUUGGACAAUGGGCGCAAGCCUGAUCCAGCCAUGCCGCGUGAGUGAUGAAGGCCUUCGGGUUGUAAAGCUCUUUAGCCGAUGAUUAUAAUGACUGUAGUCGGAAAAUAAGCCCCGGCUAACUUCGUGCCAGCAGCCGCGGUAAUACGAAGGGGGCGAGCGUUAUUCGGAAUCACUGGGCGUAAAGCGUGCGUAGGCGGUUUUGUAAGUUAGGAGUGAAAGCCCAGGGCUCAACCCUGGAAUUGCUCUUAAAACUACAAGGCUAGAAUGUCGGAGAGGAUAGCGGAAUUUCCAGUGUAGCAGUGAAAUGCGUAGAUAUUGGAAGGAACACCAGUGGCGUAAGCGGCUAUCUGGACGACUAUUGACGCUGAGGCACGAAAGCGUGGGGAUCAAACAGGAUUAGAAACCCUGGUAGUCC